GGGAGUGUUCCUGAGCCCAUCCUGUCUACAGCUGGAGAAGCUCAGCCAUCAAAGCGGAGUGCAGGCUUCUCUGCUGGGUUGUAGGAACAAAAAGGUUCCACCAGUGAGACGCAUGUGGCCUCCUUCCUGGAAGCCCCAGGAGGCGGCCCAGCUCCCCUCUGUCUUUGUGGGCUGCUGCCACCCCCAGCUCUACAGAUGUGGUGGGCAGAGGUGCAGGGCUUCUGAGGCGGGUGCUGAGGGCAGGUACGUGUGCCCCGUGGUCAGGUGCCGCUCCUCUUGGCCAUGCCCUGCAGGGCUUCUCCUUGGGGGCUUCACCAAGGACAAUGGUGUGCUGUCACCGAGG
rnacentral:lncRNA from 1 species